rnacentral:lncRNA from 1 species
GUGAUAUUUUGUUAGACUUUCUUCCUGCCCUCUAGAAAACACUGGGUUAGAAGAUAAUCCAAAGGAAGAUGUAUUUGCUUCAUCUGUUGAGUCCCUUAUCCUGACUUCUUGAGAAAUAAUUAAUUUGAAGGUGUAUUAAGCUAAGUCUCCAAAGAGCCCUCUACUGCAGUGUGGCAUGUGGAAAUCUUUUUCACACAGAUUUUCUGGAAGGUACAAGCAGUGUGGUGCAUAAAGUGAUCAGAGCAUAAAAGCAGGACACUAAAUUCCUGACUUCAGAGACUUCUGUCAAUCUCCUGGCUCCAAGAUUAAUUUGUUUACACUGUUUCUCCCCUCAUAGUGCUGUUUAUUCUGUUUAUUCAUAACAUAACUCUUUGGGUGC